GACGUAGGGCGCGAGCGUUUGUCCGGAUUUAUUGGGCGUAAAGAGCUCGUAGGCGGCUUGUCGCGUCGUUCGUGAAAACCCGGGGCUCAACUCCGGGCUUGCGGGCGAUACGGGCAGGCUAGAGUUCGGUAGGGGAGACUGGAAUUCCUGGUGUAGCGGUGAAAUGCGCAGAUAUCAGGAGGAACACCGGUGGCGAAGGCGGGUCUCUGGGCCGAUACUGACGUGAGGAGCGAAAGCGUGGGGAGCGAACAGG
rnacentral:rRNA from 1 species